AGAGCGAGACUCCAUCUCAAAACAAAACAAAACAAAACAACAGAAAUGAAUACUGGGUGUUUAUCCAAAGGAAAGUAAAUCAGGGUAUGAAAGAGAUACCUGCACCCCCAUGUUUAUUGCAGCUCUAUUCACAAUAGCAGAAAUAUGGAGGCAACCUAUGUCCAUCAGUGGAAGAAUUGAUAAAGAAAAUGUGGUAUAUACAGAAAAAGUGGUAUACUACUCAGUCUCAAAAAAGAAUGAAAUCCUGUCAUUCGUGGCAACAUGAAUGAGCCUGGAGGACCUUAUUUUAAGUGAAAUUAGUCAGGCACAGAAAAAUACCAAAUGUUCCCAUUCAUAUGUAGCGCUAAGAAAACCAUUGAGCUCAUAGAGGUAAAGUGUAGAACUGUGGUUAUUAGAGACUAGGAAGGCUGGUAGGGAGGGGAGGGGAAGAGAGACUGGUUGACAGAUACAAAGUGACAGCUGAUGGGAGAACAAGUUCCAGCAUUUUGUAGCACUGUGGGUGAAUAUAGCUAGCAACAAUUUAGUGUAUAUUUUCAGAAAGCUAGAAGACAGGAUUUUGAAUGUUCAUAGCACACAAAAAAUGAUAAAUGUUCCAGGUGAUGAAUGUACUAACUACCCUGAUUUCAUUAUUAUACAUUGUAUACAUGUAUGGAAAAUCACUCUGUAUCCCAUAAAUAGGCACAAUUAUUACAUGCCGACUAAAAAUAAAAGGAAAAUAAAAUAAAAUCAGACCCAUAUUUCACACCACAGGCAAGAAAAAUCUCCAAAUGAGUUCGAAAUUUAAAUGUAAACAGUGAUAGCAUGUAAGCAAUGGGUGAUUUCCUCACUAACUUUGAUGUACAUAAAGCCUUUCUAAAUAUAACUGAAAAUUCAGAGACAUAAUUAAUAAAUUUGACUACAUUAAAAAACCAGAACUGAAGCAAUUCAAAUUACUUGUCACUUAAGAGGUGAACAGUUGUGAUUUGCUAAAAGUACACUUUUUCAUCCUUCCAGGAGUGUUAAACAUUUUGGUGAAGACAGGUCUGUUACAUCAGCUUGUGGAGGUCUCAGCUGAGGGUCAGUGUCCCUGAAUUUCCCUCCGUUCUUAUCACUGGGCUCUGCUGCCCCCACAGCUGCCUGGACUGUGGCUGCAGAACACACAGAGGAAAGGAGCCGGGGACUGGGGCUCUGACUGAGGGACCAGGGCAGAUGCAUUCUCCCUGACCCUACAGAUCUUACCAGUCUCAUCCCAUGGACUGUAUUUGCCAGUCCCCAGCAGGGACAGGUUUCUCGUUUGUGUUAAAUUGGAAAGGUAACAGUCUUAGGUAUUGUCAGUUCCACGUUGGUUAUUACUGGCAAGCAAGGAGAGAUGGUGACAUGGCAUACUGGCUGACUUCAGAUGACGGGGGAAGUUUGAGAUUGCUGUCACUGCUUGUUUGGAACAAACAGAACAGAAAGGCCUAAGACAGGCUUAGCUUCUAAGGAAAUGAUACAUCCUUAUUUGGGUUCUGCCCAAACAUCUCUUUCAUAUCUCUUGAGACUGCAAUAGGGACCUCUCCUCUAAUUUUAAGUGGAGAGUAGGCUUGCUGUUCCGAGGAUUUAGAAUGGUAAAAGCCAAACUUGUAUUUGUGGGUACAUUGUGUCGAAACCCCACUAACCUUAAUAAGAGAAGGCACCAGAUUUAAGAGGUGAAAGAAGAACCCCAGCACCAACAAAUGAGACAUGGGGUUUUAUUAGGUGCUUAUGUACGGGGGAGAGAGUCCAGUGGCAGUGGGCUGGCCAGGAGAACUGCUACCACCUGCAAACCUGCUGUUUAUGUAGCAUUUUCACUUAACACCCUCUCCUCAACAACCUCUACCUAGCCACCUUCUUUUAACCCAAAACUAAGGGCCUCAAUGCCCUGUACAGCCCAUGUUCCAUGGGAUGGACCCAGGGCUCAGAUAUUUACCAUAGGCAAAUAACAAAUCUCUGGGUUGGGCAUGCCUGGAUUCCCUAGCUCAAAAUACGAAUUCAGGUGGCAUCUGCCAUACAGGGUCAUUCUAAGGGUAUGCUUAAAUUAUUACUAUCAGGUGCAUUAACCCUAUAGCAUAUAGGUGAAACUAUUGAACCUUUGAAACUGGCCUUAAGCUUACUAGCUGUGUAACCUUAGGUGAGUUCCUUACCCUCUCUGUGCCUCAGCUUCCUUGUCUAUAAAAUGGGGCUCAUAAUAGAACAUAUUUCCUGUUGACUUUUAUGAGGCUUAAUGAGUGAAUAUUUGUGGAGUGGUUACAACAGUGCCUGCCACAUGAUGACCAGCAUAUUCUAUUCAUGCUUGUUUAAUAAAUACAAACACUGUGAAACUACUGCCCCGGUAGAAGAAGUUAGUGUCUUAUCUCCAAAGAUUUAAAUAAUGGGAAGCUACCUAUUUGCCUCCUUGUAUGUGCAGUGAUUGCGAAACAGAUUCGCCAUUUGACACCUGGACUCCGAGAGCAUGAGGAGCAGGAAAUAGGGGUUUCAGACAGUCCUAAGCAGAGCCGAAUAAGACCUUGGCUUAGGAAGCUUGGAUGGAGGGGUGGAGGAAUGGGAGGCACCUUGUCAUGGGGCAGCAGCUGAAGGCACUUCUUCUCAUUUCGCAUUUCCCAAGGUGCGUUCUGCCUCUAUACUGCACUUGACUCAUUGGGAAAAUGGAAUGAGUAUAUGAGUAAUACUUGACCCUGUGCGAGCACUUAUAGCUACACAAAUUCAAUCAUGUCUCUGAAACCCACGUAGGAGCCUGGUCUUGGCGAUGACCUGUACAAAUGAAAGUAAUGUUAUUAUGAAGUUUCGUCUUCAAGGAGAAUAAUUACAUCAUGGCCAUUUCUUUCCCUAUUAAAUUAUGGCCAGCUGCCUCUUAAUAAAAAAUAAAAAGAAGGACUCUGUAUUUACCGUAGUUAAACGUUAAUGGUCUUACCAUAGGCAAGGAACAAAUCUCUGGGUUGGGCGCCUGGAUUCCCUAGCUCGAAACACACAUUCAGGUGCAUCUGCCAUACAGGGUCAUUCUAAGGGUAUGCUUAAAUUAUUGCUAUCAGGUGCACAGUUAAUGUUUUCCCCAAACCCCAGCCAUGUGUUUCCAUGGGGGUAGAGAUCACUGUAAAAGAGAGAUAUCCCAAGAUUGUGAAGAAGGGGCAUUGAUGACCUUUAACCCUCUAUAAGGGCUGAGCUCCUCCACAGCUGCUGCUGCUUUACUGAACAAACUGCUAUGCCUGAGACUGGAGGGGUCUUUAGAGGUCAGCUCGUUCCUCCAUCAGAUGCCUGAUUGCCCCUUCUCAUUACCAGCUGUGCCUUCCUUCUGCCUAACCACACUUAAGCCAGACUAGUGCAGGGUCCACUGCCCACAUGGUUGGAAGUGUGUGGUCGGACAACUGCCAACGUUCUGGACCUGUGAACUAGUCCUUGCUACAGUAUUUUCAAGCUUGGAAAAGUCUCAGCUCUGGGAUAAGGUGUCAGGGGCAAGGAUGCCAUCAGGAUCUUCAAUAUGCCAUUCUAACAUGACUUCAGGUGUUUGAGAUUUUGAAAACGAAGCCUGGUUAAAGUCCAAGGUUUGAUCGUGCUAAGAGUGCUAAAGGUAAGAUAAAAAAAUUGAUACGUAUUUUUAAAAGUUUUGGCAGUCAAGGAACUAUGUGUUGAAUGGUUACCCAUCAUGGAAACUCUCAUUCUUACAUCUGUUUGCCUCCUUGAGCUGAGGGGUUCACAGGAAGGCUGCAGAGCAUGAGCUGACAUCUCUGAGGAAGGUCAGAGAGUGAUGUGAGUGGUGAUAGCCAAUGGCAUUAAGAACAGGGAAAGAAUGCUUUUUAAAAAAAUUUUUUUAAAUUAAUUAAUUUUUUUAGAGGAAGUAUUUAAGCAAAGAUCUUAGGGAAAUAGUGUGGAAGUGGCAGCAGAAGCAGUGCAUGAUGACCACUUCUCUUUCAUACAGGGACAUAGGACUCUGAACUGGACAGUUGCACUGGAGAGGGUUAGAGAGUAGUGGCUUCCAAGGGAGAAAGGUCUCAGUGAGGAUGAAGAGGCAGAUGUGAGGCUUGUGGAAAAGUCAGUGGCUACGGAGAGUUUACACCUAACUAGCCUUGCUGAAUAAAAUACAGGAUACCCCAUUACAUUUGAAUUUCAGGUAAACAACAAAUGAAUUUUUGUACUAUGAUCCAAAUAUUGUAUAUAAAUUCCAAAUUGAACGGGGAAUCCUAUAUUUGGUAAAUCUGGCAGCCCUUUUCCUACAAGAAUAAAGAUUUAAUGUGACCCAGAGGAAGGGUUUUGCAUGAGUGCAGUCAUAUGCUUAACAGGGAUGACAAAUGGAAGAGUUUAGAAGAUUGACCUGAGAUACAUUUCUUUAAUGGAGUGAAUGUUGAAUGACUUUGGAGCUUUCUCACUGGAAGGUACUAGAGAACUACACAAUUAUUGAGAAUUCAAGUGAAAUCUGGUGUGAUGAUAUGGCUUUUUCAAAUUUGCCAUCUUAGGUAUGGGGUCUGACACAAUGGCCAACUUUAAUUUUCCCGUGUGAGUGUGUAUAUUCUGGAGAUAGAAAGGGUCUCAGGUUGCCAGGUCUCCACAAAUAUCUCCUGAAUCAGUAUCUUCUGUUAAUUAAUUAAUUUUUUCAUAUGGGAGAAAUUUGACCGGGUGGCUAGGAUUUGUUGGUUUUAUUAUGGCUCAAUUCCAGCACAUCUUGAAAUGGUUAUUUUUCAAAUGUUUUUAGUUAGAAGUACCAUAUUAAAUCCAUCACCAAUAAAGAAUUGAGGGUUAUUUAUUGGAGCAUAUUCUUAGUAACAUUAUUUAUACUUUGUAAUAAUUUAGAGAAGCCAGAAAUGAGAGAUAACCCAAUAAUUAUCUAUAUCUGUUAUUUUGCUAAUGAAUCUCUAUUUUUGACAUCUUUAAUUAAGCUAAUUUUCCUUUCUCUCAUGAUCCUAAUAAGUUUCAAUGACCACUGCUCCAUCUUAAUACCUAAACAAAGUCAUCUAAUCUUUUGCAAGAAGUAGCUCUGCUUUAAAACAGGACUUCAUCAUUAUAAUCUUGGCCAGCUAAUAUAUGUGUAGGCAUCAUUUCCAUAUCUGAACUCGACGUUAGGUCAUUUGUAUACUUUCUUGAAGGCUAUGCAUACUCUUCCCUAGUGGAGGGGAUAAAAAGCAGUCAUUAAAAAGUCCAUUUAUAUAGCUUGCAGUUAUUCUCGCUCUAGAAUUACCCUCCUUUCCUUCAGUUAAAAAAGAUAAAGGAUAUUGCUGAUGGUGAUAGGGAAAAUAGGGUUGAAGCAGCCUUUUCUCAAACCAGGGGCAAAGCAAAUUUGUUGAUGUUAAUUAUUUCCCUUUUUCCUGCUUCAUGAAACAAAGUGAUCUCUUCAAAUAUAGCUUUCCAAUGACAUACUUGAUGUUUUUUACCAUCAACACUUCAGUGUUAUGUUGAAUGGCUUCUGGGUCUAAACUGUAUAUUCUAUAAUGCCAAAUAAGUAUUUUUAAAACUGGCACGACACAUCCCUUGUUGCCUGGGAGCUGAAUGCUUCCACUGCAUUUGUCAUAAUUGUUUUUGGUUAAUCCUCUCAACGGCAGGGACUCCAGGUAUUUAUGGUUGCCCUUGCUCUGGGUCUUCAAUUAUUUGACCUGACGUGAGAAUGAAUCCAUCAGUAACAGUAGGCUGUCUUUUGCCCAUUUCUCCAUUUUAUUAUUGCAUUUAUCCCUAACAAACUUCAUUUGCAUGUCAUUAGUAAAGUUCUCCGUAUUUUUCAACAGCUUGAGAAGCUGCAUUUUGGAAAUGACAUAAAGGUUCAGAUCAUAUACGUGGUGCUUAUCCUCAUGUUUCUCUCAAAGCUAUGGCCUGCAUUCUUUAUCCGUCUUAAUCAUUUCAGUUACAAGCAAAAUGAAACCUAAAUAAAUUUUCUUGAAAUAGUCAAUGAUUUACACAUAAAACAAUUCAGAGAGAGUACACUUUCCUUCCCUUUAAAAUAUUUUUGUUUCAUUGUGCAAAUAAUACACAGGUAUUACGAUUACUACUAAUGUUAACUGUCUACAUGAGAGACAAUAUUGCUUUUACUCUCUUCCGGUAAGUGUUUUAUGUGAUUUUUGGGGGUGUUAAAAUGAUGCAUGCUAAAAUCACAAGUCUAUAUUCUUUAAAUUAUGAACAUCUAAUAUAAUUGACCAACGAGCCCAUAUCUAAAGCAGAAAGUAAAAUACGUAAACCCAACCUAGAAAGGUCCUUAUUCUGAAAGCUAUGUCUUGCCCUUCAAGGUUUUUUGUUGUUGUUGAUGCCAACAACCAAUAUCUGCAAUCCUUUCUCUAACAGAACGCCUCUCCCUGACCAGGUAAAAUAGCAGUGUGAAUGUAAGUAAUUUAGGGGAAGACAGAGGUGGUCUUAAAGGUGAAAGAAGGGAAAAAAAGAAAUUAUCUUUCUACCAAAAGAAUUCACUUACUUUAAAAAAGAGUAUUCUCUCCUGUAUGAUUUGAAGUCUCCCAUUUUAGGAGAUGCACGUAAGUUCAAAAAUAUAAAAAUAACAAUAGAAAUUCUUACUAUUUUGACAAUUAUUUUCCACUUUACUUUUGGCUUGUUGGGGAAGAAGGAAGACAUUUAGAUACAUGCAGCACAUGUAAUCUCAGGAUUUUCCAUAUUUAUAUAUCUUUUUCCCUACAUUGUAUUUUCUCUACCCAAGAGCCCAGGCUGUUAUUUUUUUUUCUCGAAGUCUGAAGAUCACCCCAUGGAUUAACAAAUGAUUGAGGAUUCUCUCUUAAAAGACUCUUUAAAAAACUGUCAGAAUCAGCCUGAGACAAAGAUUUAUUAUGAACUAUUUAAAGGGCUUAAUAUAUGUGUCCCCAAUGAGCCCUUGGAGCAAACUAAAAAGGAAGAGUAGAAUUCUCAAAGAAUAGGAAAAAUUCUCCAAUGCCCCACUUUCUUCACACCAUGAUUACUGUUUACUCAAAGGAUGAAAUGCCUAACCUGUCACACAAAGUCUUCAGAAGCCACAGUCCUGCUGAUGUACAGUCAAAACAAUACAAUGAAGACCGGCAGUAAUGUGCUUGAGAAAGGCAGCUGUAAUUUACUUUCUAACCUGUUCACUAACACACUAAUGUGGCUACAUCUUGUAGCAGGAGCUGAUCCCUGACCCACGUAGCAAUCAAACAACUACCCGAGUGUUGGCUGUCACAGAAGCUGGGACCGUCACCUUAAUUAUACGUUCCUGGAUAACAAACCUUCCCUUAAUGAGCAACUUUUCUCUUAUGUGUGUUCCAACUCACCCCUUCUGUCCUUGAAAAGGCCCAUUGCCAAUCACUGCAGUUGGAAUCUGUGAAGCAUAUUCAUAAGUAUUCUUCCUAACAGGUAAUAAAUACUACCUGAGCAGGCUGUUUGCUUUAUGAGAAUGCCAAGAUAUAAUUAAAAUUAUAGCCUUGUACUCCUGGGAGGCUCUAGAGAAGAAUCACUCAGCACAAAAGGGAAAGUUUUCAACGUACUUACAACUAAGCUUUUUUCUCUUUUAUUGGUAAUAAUAAUAUUAUUGUAAUGGCUAUCUUCUUUGGAACUUAUAUUUGGCCAUGAGAUUUAUUACUCUCAAUGUAAUUUCUACACUAGCUUUUCUUUUUUUUAGACAUGAAAUCAUUUUAUUUUCUUAUUAUAAAACUCCCAAAUUCUGUUGUUAUCUGCCAAUGAUACCCCAACAAUGAACACAGGCAACCAGGAGGGUCUUACAAGGAGGUUUUGCAAAUACCUUGGGGAGAAAUUGUGCCUUUCUAUGGAAAGAAGACCUUUAGCAUUGAGGACAAAGAGCAAGACAAUCUUUACCAUGUGACGGUUCACUUCCCGAAUGUCACUAGCUCAGUGUGAGUUUGAGACGAGUCCAUCAGAAAGGCAAAUGGUACAGACUGGUAAUUCGUUGAAGAGAAGGAAAGGACUUGGAACCAGGUUUGUUGGUUCAACUUCCAUUUUAUUUUAAUCUCCUUAAGACUCUGCUUCUUUUCUCUUUAAAUAUGUGGCUAUAUUUUCUCUGUUAGACAGUUUGGCACUGUUUGGUAAGGCAUAUAUAGCAUAUGUAUUUAGAAAAUAUAUGUAUUUAGAAAGCUCUAAUGUAUUUGCUUUGAGUAACCAUUUACAGUGGAAUAUAUGAACUAAUCCAUGUAAAUCACUUAGCUUGGCACAUGAUAAACACCCAGUAAAUGUAAGCUUUCAUGGUUGUAGUUGGUAUUGCUAAUAUCUCCACAGCUAUUUCUGACAUCUGUUUUUAGGCGUACUGGGUGGAUCAAGGAACAGGAAAGGAUAGUAACGCUCAAUAGUCUGCUGAGUCUCAGAGCAGCAAAUCCCAUCCUGGAAUAACAACAGGGGUACCACUGGGCAGGAUGAUGACCACAGAUAUGGAGAGCAGCAGUGCGCACGGGAGUUGGACAUUUGCCACGGAAUUGGGAAGUUUGGGCUGUAGGUCAGGCUUAGCAACUGGGGACAGCUCCACAGUCUCGCUCUGUCCCCAAGGUUGUAGUGUAGUGCUGUAAACAUGGCUCACUGCAGCCUUAAUCUCCUGGGAUCAAACAAUCCUCCAACCUCAGCCUCCC